AUCCGGAAUCAUUGGGCGUAAAGCGCCUGUAGGUUGUUUAAUAAGUCUGUUGUUAAAGACUAGGGCUUAACCCUAGGAAAGCAAUGGAAACUACUAGACUAGAGUAUGGCAGGGGUAGAGGGAAUUUCUAGUGUAGCGGUGAAAUGCGUAGAUAUUAGAAAGAACACCGGUGGCGAAAGCGCUCUACUGGACCAUUACUGACACUCAGAGGCGAAAGCUAGGGUAGCAAAAGGGAUUAGAUACCCCUGUAGUCUUAGCCGUAAACGAUGGAUACUAGAUGUUGUGCAUAAUGUACAGUAUCGUAGCUAACGCGUUAAGUAUCCCGCCUGGGGAGUACGCUCGCAAGGGUGAAACUCAAAGGAAUUGACGGGGGCCCGCACAAGCGGUGGAGCAUGUGGUUUAAUUCGAUGCAACGCGAAGAACCUUACCAGGGCUUGACAUACUACAAAUUCUUUAGAGAUAAGGAAGUGCCUUCGGGAAUGUAGAUACAGGUGGUGCAUGGCUGUCGUCAGCUCGUGUCGUGAGAUGUUGGGUUAAGUCCCGCAACGAGCGCAACCCUUAUUUUUAGUUACUAAUUCGUUAGGUUCUCUAGAAAGACUGCCGGUGACAAACCGGAGGAAGGUGAGGAUGACGUCAAGUCAGCAUGCCCCUUAUGUCCUGGGCUACACACGUGCUACAAUGGUUAAGACAAAGGGUCGCGAGCUUGCAAGAGUCAGCUAAUCCCAUAAACAUAGCCUAAGUUCAGAUUGUAGGCUGCAACU
rnacentral:rRNA from 1 species